GUGGGUAUAGCUCAGGGGUACAGCACAUGCUUAACAUGCAUGAGGUACUGGGUUCAACCCCCAGUACCUCCA
rfam:Camelus ferus unplaced genomic scaffold scaffold716, whole genome shotgun sequence.